UACGGAGGGGGCUAGCGUUGUUCGGAAUUACUGGGCGUAAAGCGCACGUAGGCGGCUUUGUAAGUUAGAGGUGAAAGCCCAGGGCUCAACCCUGGAAUUGCCUUUAAGACUGCAUCGCUUGAACAUCGGAGAGGUAAGUGGAAUUCCGAGUGUAGAGGUGAAAUUCGUAGAUAUUCGGAAGAACACCAGUGGCGAAGGCGACACACUGGCUCACUACUGACGCUGAGGCGCGAAAGCGUGGGGAGCAAACAGG
rnacentral:rRNA from 1 species